UUCCAUUAAAUAGUAGUGUCCCUUUUUUAUAGAACUUAAUAUUUAUUUAUUUAUUUUUUUUUUUUUAAUAAUUUAAUUUCGCUUUUAACUCUUUUAACUGGUGCAGAAGAAUGACCACCAAUGUUGAUACUGUUAUAAAGGCUGUAAAUUCGAACUUUUGAAAUAUGCAUCUUUGCAUAUUAUUAUAUUAUAUUUAACCGUUUAAUUGAUAAUUAAAUACUAUUAAAAAAAUUACUUAAAAAUCUACAAGCAAAAUGUAAAUGAAUUAGAUAACACCUCAAUUCUAAUUAUCAUUAACCAAAUUUAUGCAGGUUAAAAUACAAAAAAAAACAUAAAUUCCAACAUUUAGACACAUGUACAUAUUUUGCAUGCAUCGAACCCAUAAGAGAGUUCGCAUCAUAAUUCAUUGUAAAAUUCAUUGGAAUACUUCAUACAAUUUGCAUUUGCAUGAAAAUAAAGCACACACAAAAACGAGAAGGAAAACAUGAACUAGAAUCUAUUUCGGAUUGCAUUUUCUUCCAUAGCUAGCUCAAAACAUGCAGAAACGAUCUGGAAAAGUAUACCUAAAUGAUACACAGGAGUAGGGAUCUGGCCAGACUAGAAGCUUUCAAAUAAAGAAAAAUUUUAUAGAACCGAGAUGUGAACAUAUUUUAUGGAAGGAGUUGAAGAAGAGUAAUAUUUCCAAAAUAUUCCAAAUUUAAAAGCUAAAAAACUCAAUAAUACAACAAAAAUUUGUUUAAUUGCCAAAUUUAUGUGGGAUCCUAUUAAAUGCAUCCCUGGACUAUUUUUGACGACAACACUGACGAGAUGAAGCGUGCUAACGUGCACUAUAACGGACGAUGAAAAAAGAGCAACGGUUCUAACUUGAAAAUAAGUCAGUCUAGAAAAAGUAUUUGAACAAAGCACACUUAAUUCUAAAAUAUAAAAUAAGUUAACCAUCAAAUGUGAAUUUUACUUUGUAUUUCUAAAAUAAUAAUUACAAUAAAUGUGUUUGUUAAAGUUAAGCGUUAUUUAAAAAUGUUAAUUAAACAAUAAAAUAUGAAUUAAAUAAUGAAGAUGUGAAUUAAAAUGAACUAAAAGUAUCGAUCUAUUUAUUUAAACUGCGCCAAGGGUAGGUAAUAUCUAACUGAAAUGACUGAAAACCCUACAUUUAUAAUAAGAAACAUUAAGACAUCCUAUUAUCUGUGGCGAAAUAAAAAACCGGAUAUUUAUUCCGCCUUUGAUUGUACCAAAAUUGAAAAAAGAAAAGGCACAAAUGUGUUUGUGAACAUAACUAACGGCGAAUUAAGGAUUAGUUGGUGAACACCACUAACGGCGAAUCUAUUAACCGGGCAGCACCGCCUAACCAUAAUUGAUCUAUCAAUUACAUGUCACUAUAUCUUUCUCUUUUCUUUUGAACUACCGACGAAUAAAGACGUAUUUUAUUAAAGUCCUAAGUCUCAGAAGCAAACCAGACACUUUAUUAUUAAAUUAUAAGACUCUUGGUAGAUGACAUUAGCAAGCAGGAUUAUUUCACGCAUGGAAAAGUAGAUACCUAACUAGGGCAAUGAAAAAAAUCUUCCAGGAGCUUCGUUAACCAUAAACAAGCAUGAUCAUACUUGCUUAUAUUUCUAAAAUCCAAAGGGUUAAAAUAACAUCCAAAAAGUACGCUCUAUGAAAUUAAUGGGCACCCAGCAAUAAACAAUAAGAUCCAAACUUAAAAAAAAUAUUGUAUAAAUAAACGCUCCACAGGUUGUGGAGCCCGUUAUACGUAAACCAGUACAGUGUUGUGAUUAUUUUAUUAAAGUAGUGCGUGUUGUAUAAAUAUGGUGACCAAUAAUGAAAUUUAGUACCUACAUAACGCGUUUGCUAGCCUUAGAGCAACUCUAGUCGCCAGGAAACAGUUUAACAAUCAGGAAAGACGUAUGCAAGUUAACACAGCCGCUUAUCGGCUAUUAAAAACUUAGAAUCAAUAUAAACACUUCCCACACCUUUUCUGUGACCAUUCAAACUUUCGAUCAUAAAUAAUGUUUCCUGAUGAUAAGGAAAAUAAAAUAGCAGCCAAGCGAGUACAAAUUUUAUUUAAAGGACGGCAAGUUCCUAUACAAAAAUGUUUCAGAUACAACCACGUCGCGCAACACUGCAAAGAAAAAUCUGACAAAUAAAAAAAAAAAAUUUCAAACGCACCCCGAAACUGAACCAUGCCAAACUGUGAAAACUGUAAAUGAGAGCAUGCUCCAACGGCCAAGGAUUGCCCGGCAAGUAAAGGCUAUAUAAUCAAAAGAACGAUGACCUUGGAAAACAGUACAUAUAGGGAAACCCAAAAGAAAAUAACCAACAUACUGGGAAACCGGUUCGAGUUGCUCGACAAUUACGGGAGCCAAUACCCUCAAUUAACCCAAACUAAAAGUAAUAACAAAAUCCGGAACGAAACAGCCUCUGACAUACACAAAAUACUACCAUACUCACAAGUAAUUCGAAGCAACAACAACAACAACUGACUCAGAGAAGAGAUAAAUGCAGCCAACACUAUGAAAUAAUGGAGAGAGGCCAUAAAACCACUCAACACACGGGAAAUAAAAAUUGAACCCCAAAAGAUCAAGGAAACACAAGAUACAUUCAACAAUUUGAGUAAAACGAUCUCAACACUCUUGGCAUCAAAUACCAAGGAAAGAUUAAACCAUAAUACAAUGUUUAACCAAAUUUGCGUUGAAUUCACAAAAUUCUACAAUAUUUUUAACAGAAUUUUAAACAACAGCAUUAAAAAGAGCGUCGCUCUAUUGACUACCAUGAUAAACAAAGAGGGUGUAAAGAUCUAGGAGAGGGCAAUGCGUAGGCGGUUGAUCGAAGAGAAUCUAAUGGAAUGCAACCUUCGAAAACACCACCCCUUACUAGCGGUAUGAAAAGAAACUACUGGAAUUGGCUGGACACCAUUGAAAUCUGACUGGUGCAGAAUGGCAUGACUAUAUUUGAACCAAUUGUCAAGUGAGGAGAAGAAUAGAAUCAUACAAGGAAAACUUGGAUUGACAAAAUUCCACAGUGAAAUCAGUAAAGCAUUGAACCUCGCACUUUUAAAGAUAGAGAUGUCAGGAUCAGGAUAGAGAUGGAGGAUCUGUAUCAAUGAAAGAGUACGCUAAUCAGAAAGCAGUCCGUACAUUUGCCACACGACUCAACACAGCAAGUAUACAAGUGGCACAUUAUAAAGACGCCACCAAUAUUCCACGAGAAUGUGAAUAUGCAGAUCGACGCACAAAUUACACCACAACAAUCAAAUCGAACUUACUAAAGUCCUAGCAUAGGAAAAUAAUUCCUCAUUGUAAGAAGAAAUUUUCCUUUAAUAAUAACACUUUUAUAUUUUACCUUUGGCGUCUUCUGUGUUCGAUUAGUCUAUCUAAAGGAUAAAAACUAUGUGAUGAUAAAAUCAGAUCCUGAGCAAUUAUUAAGCUCAGAAAAAAUUUUCCGCCUUCGCCUUUGUAUGUACGCGUGUAAAUCUACUUCUAACGCCUCUCUCACAUUUCGCAUCUUAGGAUAGGAGCUCGAAGUGUGGGUAAUGAAUAAGUAAACUUAUUAUUAAGGAGUCAAUAUCGUUUAAGCAUUUGAGUUGAAUAAAAGGUCAUACAUUGGAGUAAACCUAAACCUCGUGUAUUUAUUUAUUUUAGUUAUAUACAUAUAUUUGUUUGGCUCGUACCUGAGUUGGCGCAGUGGCUGGUGUAUCUCGGUUGAAAUUCGUGAUCGAAGUGAUGCAAAAAUAAAGUAAACGUUUUUAAUAAAGAGAAAAAAGAAACAGUUCUUCUUUGUAUACGGGUUAUCUGUUACUUAUGCAUAUGUGCGUGUAUAUGCAUAUAAGGUUACUCGCACAUUAGGCCCCCUAGCGGUAAGCAACAGACUUAAUGCACUUUCGCCAGCCAUUGCUCCAACCAGGAUGUUUAUUAUCUGCUAAAAAGAUAAGGGAGGUUAAUUGAAAUAAAGGUACCGUGGUUAAAAUUCAAUGCACUAUUUUCUUUAUAUGGAAAUAUAUAUAAAUAAGUUUAUACUAAUGUAUAAACUAAUUGCCUUUUGGCGACAAAGGUUUAUAAAAAUUUUUAAUCUGGGUCACCAGAUAUGACAAUGAAGUGGCAACUCUACAUUUACCAACUACAUCUAACUUCAUGAACAAGUGUCAUUACAAAUUUUCCAUGCGGCUUAUGACGAACGAAAAACAAACAAGGGGAGAGAGAAAAUAAAAUGCCGGGCACCACGCCUGGAUUCGUCACAGCCGCUUCUAGGUCAACGCGCUCAUCAUGUUCAGCGGCAGAUUGUGCUUAUACAACGGGUUCAUCUAUACGAUUAUCAUUAUUCUCUUGUAUACUAAUUUUAUUGGGUUCAUCGACAAAGAUGGCGUUAUGAGAGCUGGUGGGCGUCUCAAUGCAUUUUCUGACCUAUCUUACAGUCAGCGCCAUCCUAUUCUUCUUCCAUAUAGUGCCAAGUUGUCCCGUCUUUAUGUCCAGUUUGUCCAUCAAGUAUCCAUCCAUGGGGAAAAUCAGCUGAUGCUGCGGCUCAUCCGAUCACAAUUCUGGAUUCCCAGGGUCAAAAACAUGAUCCGAUCCGUCAUACACAACUGUAAGAUCUGCACAAUAUACAAAAAACGAUCGCAAGCCCAACUUAUGGGAAUCAUUCCAGAAGAACGCACUACCUUUUCCACGUUUGAAGAAUUUUUUACGACGAUAGCGCUGUUAAUACUGGCUUCUGCCUUGGAGUGUGUACUAGCGUAUAUGCAUGUUUGCAAAUUAACCAACUUUCAAACCUAAAUUUAAUUUGGGUAUUUUUCAUACUUUUGGUCUAAAUUUGGAUCGUAAAACAAACUCACCACACCCGUGUCAGAACACUUCCCUUUAUACCAGUCGAUAACCAGCUGAUGGAGAUCGAUCAAAAAAGCAACCUACUUCGGAUACCGGAAGGAAACUUUCUAUCUUUUUUUCUGGACAAACUUGGAACGAGGUAAGGUCAGCAGAUAUUUUUUUUUAGAACGUGAAUUUUCGUUUUCCAACAUCUUCAAACGUGCGCCACAGUACAAAAAGUAUUCCGUUCAUUCAUAAUUAAAAAGUAAAAGUAUAAAAAAAUCUAUUCCUUAUUUGCUAACUUUUUCGCGAACAAAUCUCUGCUGAUCUGAAACAAACCUGAAACGUUGCACAACCUGGGCACAUGCCCCUAUGAGCAUGGAAAGUGGCAGAUCCUCCUGGUCACCUCUAGACGCAGCCGAAAGCAGACCCCUCAUCAACUUGGUGAACCCCUUCUACUUCAUUAAUUAAAUAUAAUUUUUAUGAACAUUUAAAUUUUUUUUAAAUCAAAUUUGUUUUUUUUUUUUUGGUAACCAAACCAAAGUUGGAUUAAAGAAACUCAUUUUCUAAUACUGCACCCUAAUUAAUCAAAUUAAUGUAAUGCAGUUUUAACUAUUCUUCUACAUAUAAAUUGCAUACCUAUUUUCCUCUUUCUACAAAUGAAAUAAGAAAAUCGAACCAUUAGGAGUAGAAAAAAAAUGACAAAAGCUAUUGAGUGGAAUUUAGAUGUGGGUGAAUACAUACACGCUUACAUAUAAAGAAAAUUAAAUAUCUUAUUUUUUUUUUAGUUUCAUUAUAAAUUAACUAAGUCGCCUACCAAAGCACCCUUUGUGCAACAUAAAGCCAAAUGUAGCUAAUAUAACUAAGCCAUUCCAAAUUCGAAUAUUCUUAAAUAGUUAAGAAACAUUUUAUUCUUUUUUUUGCUAGAUAAAAAUUUAUUAUUUUAGUUUUACAUGCAUACAUACUUAUGAGCAUAUGCCGUGACUAAAUACUUAGCCUCUCUCAACCAUAGUUGUUUUUAUUUUUUUCUCCCUAUAUGCCCUUUCUUUGCAAUACCUACCAAUUUUCGAUAAAUAUGUACAUAUGUAUGUUCUAUAUUCAUACAUGAGCCCAAUUGGCGAGAUCAGAGUACUCGUAUGUUGGAUUUCCGUUCUUUUUUUUAUCAAGCAUUUUUUUAUUGAUCUCUAACUCUUUGAUUCUCACUUAAAGAAAUUUUGUCAAGAUAUGUAUUUUUGUCGCUAGUUAUGUGUACACUAUCAUCCCAACCAGACACCACACAACAAAAUAUUGUAAAUUGGACAAAAUAAAAAGUUAAAGAAAAACAAGUAAACUUAAAAAAAAUAAGAUAACAAGUAGAGAUAAAGAGCAUAAUGCAAAUGCAUACAAACAUGUUUUGGUCCUUAUGUUUGACUGUAAUGAUAACACAGACAUUAUCGGGUAAACCACACCAAUAGAAAAUAAGAUUACAUUAACAAAUAUUGUAUUUCAUAGGAAAAUAGAAAAACAAAGAAAUAGAUUAAGAAAAUUGUAAUCGCUUUAGUAGUUAUAUAAGCAGAACAUAAUUUGAAAAAGGAAUAGAAUAAAAUAUAAUGUCACAGAAGUAACAUCGUCGGCAUUUUUUUAUUUUUUCUCCGCUCGAAAAACCAAAACUCGCUCUCCCACAAAUGUUAACACGGUGAUGGACAAAAAUAUAGCCCACAAAGCUAAAGUCCCAAUGAUCACAAAUUUGCGAAUUUUUUUCUUUUUUUGUUAUUUACACCUGUAAUAUAUGUAUAUUGGGAAUCAGAUAUAUUACAAGAAUGAUUGGCUUAAAGUAAAGAAAAUGGGAAAAUAAAAAGGAACCAUAACUAAUUUUUACAGGAAUACGGUAUAGCGAGGAGGCCUCAACGCUACGUGGGAUUUUACCAACACCGAUGUAAGUUAUGCAAAUUUUUUUUUACACCUAUUUUCUAUAUAUUUAAUAUUCGAAAUUUCAAAUAUAUUUUUUUUUGUCAUCCAUAUACACAUAUGCUUGCACGUCAUAUAGUUACACAUUCAGCUACCACAUCAGCAGCCAUACCAACGAUAAACCCAAUUCCAUCAGCAACAACAACAAAUACAAUUAAUCCAAUAUUCAAGACAACAGAUACCGGGCACUAAAUUCAACUAAACCGAUAAUAAAACAUACAUACUUACGUAUAACAUAAUUCGGCACUGAACUGAUAGUACAAACUACAUACUCACGCACAAUAGAAUUUGACACCUAAUGUGUGGUCAACGAACAUAAAAAGUAACAUCAAAGAAAUCUGAAUCUAAAUUAAUGAAUUUUGUACAAAUUAUGAAAUUUCAAAGCGAUCAAAUUAUUAUUGAUCGAAGAAAGUAUAAAAGAGACUGUUCGAUAUUCAGACAGAGAGUUCUGAACAUGAGUUGCUACUAAACAGUUGAGUACGUUUCAAAGGACAACGCUCUGGAUUAAAGGACAACAAUUCUACAGAAGAGAAUGAGGAUCCUGCCUAAACUUCUAACACCCAUUUAAGUAUCUUUUUUGACACACAUAAAAAAGUAAAAGAUAACCAAAUCUUUUUAUUUUAAUCAAACGGGAGUUUUUUGAAUGGAAUUUGCAGUGUAGAAAUCUACUACAUUGUAAAAACCUAUUAUUAUAUGUACAUUCGUACAUCUGUGUGAUUCAGCACACUUUUUUUUUUGAUUGUUGGCUCGGUGAUCCUCUCAUGCGCAUAUAUAUAUAGGACAACACCAGCAUUGCUUGAGCCCUGUUUUCAGGAGUUUAGAAGUUACCCAGUAAGCAAAUAAGUUUGUAGUCCACUAGGUGAAGCUCACUUUGUAAAAACAAAAUGGAAAAUUGCAAAGUUAACUUAUUUUUUAUUUUUAUUAUUUAAAAAAAAAAUAUCCUUUAAAAAUGUCUUGAAGUCAAAUAAACAUUGUGAAUUAUGUAGAUGUAAGUUUAACUUGUUUGGUUUGAUCGAAGGAAGUGGGGGUAAUCAAAAGGGGCCUUCAUAUCAUCUUAAAGGCCAUGGUAGUUUGGGUAAAGAGCAUCCAAAAACAUUUACUUGUGCUGCUAGGUUGGAACCUACAGGAAUAAGUAGGAAUGCCUACGGGUAAGUUGAAAAGAGGUAAUUUUUUUGGUAUUUCUUUUUUUGUGUGCCAUCGAUUAAGCUGUUGUAGCUACGGUUUAGGGAGAAGUUAUCUGGGUCCUGCAGCUACGUUACUACCCACCACCAGGCUGAAGCUCCGGGAACAAGCCAGUGCACACUCGCCAUCUGUAGAACAUCGUCUCGCCAGACCUUCUAAACGGUUCCCAAGCGUGCCAGUGCACCCUAGCCAUAAAGGAAAGGAACAGGAUAUUGGAGAAAACAUUGGAAAAGUUGCGAAAAUAUCUGUACGUUUAGCCGUCAAGUUAUUUUAAAUAUCUUGUAAGAAUUAAUUUUUUUUUCUUAUAUGAAUUGGUUUUUUUUUUGUAUUUAUGUGCAUAUACAUAUGUACACUGCACCAGCGAAACCCGGUGUCAACGAUGUGACGAGAAGCAUCAAACCACAUUGCAUUAUGGCAGAAGAGGCCCCAAACCCGACACAGUUGAAGUCGUCGAUGAAGAGAACAGCGACGACAGCGCACAGUCAAUCAAGAUCAAUGAUCAUCAGCAAUCAGGCAGAAGGAUUCAGCUCUGAAGCGUAGCACCCCCACCAAUAAUGCGGUCCUUCUGUUUUUGAUUCCAUGUACAUAUAUGAGGGAAAGUGUGAACAGUACAUUAGGACAUUAUAAAGUAACCUUGACGGACGAAUACAACACUGAUACUGACAACACGUAAACCCGGACAUAAAAUUUGAACUAACGAACGAACUGAACAAAAAACGACAGUUACUGCGCGACCACGAACAAACACGAACGUCUAUCGUCGAUACAAAUUGUGUGUUAAAGUAUAUUUUGAAUUUAAAAAUGGUUAAAAUAAAUUGUAAACUUGAAUUAAUAAAAGCGACUUUUAUUUGGCCCUACAUAUAUAUUAACAAUUAUCAAUGCAAUAAUUGUCUUUUUUAUUUUUUCUGUAUACGAAAACGAAAAUCUUUUCUUCAUUUAAUGCGUUUUUUUUUUUAAUUGGCUUUUUUCACUCCAGUGACAUUUUACAUUUUAUAUUGAGUCAGAAUAGCAGACUCGGGUGCAAAAAUAUUUCACAGGCACAAAAUAUUUUAUUUUAUCACAAAGUUGAGUGGCUGGUGAUUAAUAAAUAGGCACUCAAUAUAAGUUUCAAAUAUUUUCACUGCGUUGGGUUAUUUUGCAUAUUUGGAUAGCUAGAUUGACCGAUGAAAUCAUUGAGUUUGAAUCUGACUAUCAAGAGACACCAUUUAGGUGGUGAAAACUCACCACACCAACUUAUAAGGUGUACAAGUUUACGACAUAGUUAGAUUUGUGCUAAAUAAGCUAAAUACCGAUUUUGAGCAAAUAACUAUUCGCAUUGCUAUAAACUUGGUUUACAACUUUCCUUUAACUAACAGGCUACUCCGCUUUACUAACCCAAAUGAACAUACUGGGGAAUUGUUCGCCUCUCAUAUAAACCUAUACAUUCUUAUCACACAUUUCUAGAAAGCUCCUUUGAUUUUUCUAAACUGUGUAUUACAGAUGCAAGUUUGGCAGGCGAGUUAUCGGCGUUAGUACUAAGUUACAUACGUAUGUAUAUACAUAAAUACAUAAGCAUUGUCUAUACCGACAAACAACCUUUAACCUUGUGUGAUAACGUAGUGACAAAGAGAAUAUUAUAGAAUACAUAAACAAGCAUAUUAUUUAAGUAACGAAGCAUAACAUUCUACCCAAAUUGUAAACAGCAUCAAAACAAUAAAACUUGUUUUGACAUGCUUUAUCAUGAACAUGUAGAAUAAGCAAUAACAACCAAAAUUGUUAUCUAUUGGUAAACUUGUUAUCUCCGGCGCAUAUCAAUAGUAUAAAUACAACUAAGGUUAAUGUCAACUAGUUAGUCUUAAGAAUAUGAAUAAAGAUCACGCAUUUCAGCGUAGUAAAAAAUAUAUUCUUUUACUCAAUAUCGAAACAACGAUGCAACUGGCGCAACAAAACCGUGGGGCACGAAGGAGCACUCAACACGUCUAGUGACCACAUAUACCCACACAUACAUAUAUUUCAACGAAACGCAGGCGUAUAGAUUGCUGAUCAGUCUUUAAAACAGGAUUUUCGUCAACAAAGUCUUCAAGUAAAAUUUCAUCAUUUUGAAAUAGAUCUUUGCAGGAGUAGCUAUUAUAUGUAUUCCAAAUUCAAUGUAGGAAACAUCUAAAAAUUUCAAAUUGUGAAAUUUUGCUUUGAGUCGGCCAAUUAUGGGCCUACUCUUACUUAAUCUCGCAUUAUAAAGUAUUUGCGUUGUUUGCAAAUGACCAUUUUCACGAAAAGAGGUAAUUCAAUUCAUCAUAAGUGAAUAAGCGGAGUCCCCGAGAAUAUGGUGUUCAUGGGUUAAAAGUGGGUUAGUUGCGCAAGUUAACGACACUACAUACAUACACACAUAUAUUCACACAUGCACAAAUUCAUACAUGCAUAGAUAAUAAUUGUCCGGAAACAAGAAUACCGAUAAGCAACCUUUAUCGUUAUAAUAUAAUAUAAGAAUAUGAUACAACACAUAAAGCAAGCAUACUUUUUGAUACGUUACUAAAUUGUAAACAUAUUUCCAAUAACCAUCUUAUCACCAAACAAACAACAGAUUACCAAAUAAUAUUUAUUAGCAAAGAUAGAUGUUAUCAGAAAUAUUUAGU